rnacentral:rRNA from 2 species
UGAGUAACACGUGAGCAACCUGCCCUGGACUCUGGGAUAAGCGCUGGAAACGGUGUCUAAUACUGGAUAUGAGCUCUCAUCGCAUGGUGGGGGUUGGAAAGAUUUUUCGGUCUGGGAUGGGCUCGCGGCCUAUCAGCUUGUUGGUGAGGUAAUGGCUCACCAAGGCGUCGACGGGUAGCCGGCCUGAGAGGGUGACCGGCCACACUGGGACUGAGACACGGCCCAGACUCCUACGGGAGGCAGCAGUGGGGAAUAUUGCACAAUGGGCGGAAGCCUGAUGCAGCAACGCCGCGUGAGGGAUGACGGCCUUCGGGUUGUAAACCUCUUUUAGCAGGGAAGAAGCGAGAGUGACGGUACCUGCAGAAAAAGCGCCGGCUAACUACGUGCCAGCAGCCGCGGUAAUACGUAGGGCGCAAGCGUUAUCCGGAAUUAUUGGGCGUAAAGAGCUCGUAGGCGGUUUGUCGCGUCUGCUGUGAAAUCCCGAGGCUCAACCUCGGGCCUGCAGUGGGUACGGGCAGACUAGAGUGCGGUAGGGGAGAUUGGAAUUCCUGGUGUAGCGGUGGAAUGCGCAGAUAUCAGGAGGAACACCGAUGGCGAAGGCAGAUCUCUGGGCCGUAACUGACGCUGAGGAGCGAAAGGGUGGGGAGCAAACAGGCUUAGAUACCCUGGUAGUCCACCCCGUAAACGUUGGGAACUAGUUGUGGGGACCAUUCCACGGUUUCCGUGACGCAGCUAACGCAUUAAGUUCCCCGCCUGGGGAGUACGGGCCGCAAGGCUAAAACUCAAAGGAAUUGACGGGGACCCGCACAAGCGGCGGAGCAUGCGGAUUAAUUCGAUGCAACGCGAAGAACCUUACCAAGGCUUGACAUACACCAGAACACCGUAGAAAUACGGGACUCUUUGGACACUGGUGAACAGGUGGUGCAUGGUUGUCGUCAGCUCGUGUCGUGAGAUGUUGGGUUAAGUCCCGCAACGAGCGCAACCCUCGUUCUAUGUUGCCAGCACGUAAUGGUGGGAACUCAUGGGAUACUGCCGGGGUCAACUCGGAGGAAGGUGGGGAUGACGUCAAAUCAUCAUGCCCCUUAUGUCUUGGGCUUCACGCAUGCUACAAUGGCCGGUACAAAGGGCUGCAAUACCGUGAGGUGGAGCGAAUCCCAAAAAGCCGGUCCCAGUUCGGAUUGAGGUCUGCAACUCGACCUCAUGAAGUCGGAGUCGCUAGUAAUCGCAGAUCAGCAACGCUGCGGUGAAUACGUUCCCGGGUCUUGUACACACCGCCCGUCAAGUCAUGAAAGUCGGUAACACCUGAAGCCGGUGGCCC